rnacentral:rRNA from 1 species
UACGAAGGGGGCUAGCGUUGCUCGGAAUCACUGGGCGUAAAGCGCACGUAGGCGGGAUCGUUUAAGUCAGGGGGUGAAAUCCUGGAGCUCAACUCCAGAACUGCCUUUGAUACUGCGAUCUUGAGUUCGGGAGAGGUGAGUGGAACUGCGAGUGUAGAGGUGAAAUUCGUAGAUAUUCGCAAGAACACCAGUGGCGAAGGCGGCUCACUGGCCCGAUACUGACGCUGAGGCA